UACGCACACAGUAGUGAAGAAGCGAGCA
rnacentral:sRNA from 1 species